rnacentral:sRNA from 1 species
UGACAUCUGUCACCCCAUUGAUCACCAAGGUUGAUUCAGCUGAUCUAGCUGGUUAAGCAAGUGUCC